GACGAACGCUGGCGGCGUGCUUAACACAUGCAAGUCGAACGGAAAGGCCCUGCUUUUGUGGGGUGCUCGAGUGGCGAACGGGUGAGUAACACGUGAGUAACCUGCCCUUGCCUUUGGGAUAACUUCAGGAAACUGGGGCUAUUACCGGAUAGGAGUUCUUGCUGCAUGGUGGGGGUGGGAAAGUUUCGGCGGUUGGGGAUGGACUCGCGGCUUACCAGCUUGUUGGUGGGGUAGGGGCUUACCAAGGUUUUGACGGGUAGCCGGCCUGAGAGGGUGACCGGCCACAUUGGGACUGAGAUACGGCCCAGACUCCUACGGGAGGCAGCAGUGGGGAAUAUUGCACAAUGGGCGGAAGCCUGAUGCAGCAACGCCGCGUGCGGGAUGACGGCCUUCGGGUUGUAAACAGCUUUCGCCUGUGACGAAGCGUGAGGGACGGUAAUGGGUAAAGAAGCACCGGCUAACUACGU
rnacentral:rRNA from 1 species